rnacentral:rRNA from 1 species
AAACCAUUUUUCCCCCUUAGUAUGGGCGACAGAAAAGGGACUCGAGAAGCAAUAGAGAAAGUACCGUAAGGGAAUGCUGAAAGAGAAAUGAAAUAAAUCAAUAAGCAAUAAAAAGCAGAGAUCUACCCUCGUACCUUUUGCAUCAUGAUUUAGCCAGUAAACCUUAAGCAAAGAGCACUUUAGUUUAAUACCCCGAAACUACGGUGAGCUACUCCGAGACAGCCUAUAAUAGGGCGCAUCCGUCUCUGUGGCAAAAGAGUGGAAAGAGCUCCGAGUAGUGGUGACAGACCUAUCGAACCUAGUUAUAGCUGGUUGCCUGAGAAAUGGAUAGGAGUUCAGCCUCAUGGCUUCUCACCUCAGACCCCACUUGUUGGCUCAAGAUAACUAAAGAAACCAUGAGAGUUAGUCAAAGGAGGCACAGCUCCUUUGAUUUAAGAUACAACUUUUAAAGAAGGGUAAAGAUCAUAUUCCAUUAAGGCUUAGUGUCCUGGUGGGCCUAAGAGCAGCCACCCAUACGAAAAGCGUUAAAGCUCAAGCACGUUAGCCCCCCUACUAUAAUGAUAACAGCAUCUUAACCCCCUAAACCCUAUCAGGCCGCUCCAUGCCUCCAUGGAAGCGAUUAUGCUAAAAUGAGUAAUAAGAGAGCUCGACUCUCUCCCCGCACACGUGUACCUCGACCCGGACCAACCAUCGAAUUUUAACGGCCCCCACAACAGAGGGAAAUGAACAAUGAAAUAAAUUACAAGGAAAACACUCAAAAGCUUUCCCGCACCGUUAACCCUACACUGGAGUGCCCCUUGGGAAAGACUAAAAGAAAAAGAAGGAAUUCAGCAAACACCUAGAGCCUCGCCUGUUUACCAAAAACAUCGCCUCUUGCAAAAUUGACAAAUAAGAGGUCCCGCCUGCCCUGUGACCAGAGUGUUUAACGGCCGCGGUAUCCUAACCGUGCGAAGGUAGCGCAAUCACUUGCUCUUUAAAUGGGGGCCCGUAUGAAUGGCGUAACGAGGGCUUAACUGUCUCCUUUUUCAGGUCAAUGAAUUUGAUCUCCCCGUGCAGAAGCGGGGAUGAUACCAUAAGACGAGAAGACCCUAUGGAGCUUUAGACACCAAGGCAGACCACGUUAAUCACCCCCCGUUAAGGGGUUAAACUGUUUGGCUACUGCCCUAAUGUCUUCGGUUGGGGUGACCAUGAGGGAAAACAAAGCCCCCGUGCGGAACGAGAAUACUAUUUCUCCUAACCAAGAGUUUCAACUCUAAUAAUCAGAACCUCUGACUUAAGUGAUCCGGCAAUGCCGAUCAACGGACCAAGUUACCCUAGGGAUAACAGCGCAAUCCUCUUUUAGAGCCCAUAUCGACAAGGGGGUUUACGACCUCGAUGUUGGAUCGGGACAUCCUAAUGGCGCAGCCGCUAUUAAGGGUUCGUUUGUUCAACGAUUAACAGUCCUACGUGAUCUGAGUUCAGACCGGAGUAAUCCAGGUCGGUUUCUAUCUAUGUUGUGAUUUUUUCUAGUACGAAAGGACCGAAAAGAAGGGGCCCCUGUUUUAGACACGCCUCAUCCCUAACUGAUGAAUACAACUAAAAUAGAGAAAGGGAC